rnacentral:rRNA from 1 species
AGACGUAGGGGGCAAGCGUUACCCGGAAUUACUGGGCGUAAAGGGGGCGUAGGCGGUAAAAGAAGUCAUCUGUGAAAACCUAUUGCUCAACGAUAGGCUAGCGGAUGAAACUGAAUUACUUGAGGGCACCAGAGGUAGACGGAAUUACCCGAGUAGGGGUGAAAUCCGCAGAUACGGGUAGGAACGCCGGUGGAGAAGUCGGUCUACUGGGGUGCACCAGACGCUGAGGCCCGAAAGCUAGGGGAGCAAACCGGAUUAGAUACCCGGGUAGUCCUAGCCGUAAACGAUGCUCACUAGGUGUAGGGAGUGAUAAACUCUCUGUGCUGAAGCGAACGCGCUAAGUGAGCCGCCUGGGGAGUACGUCCGCAAGGAUGAAACUCAAAGGAAUUGACGGG